UGGGGAAUAUUGCACAAUGGGCGCAAGCCUGAUGCAGCAACGCCGCGUGAGGGACGACGGCCUUCGGGUUGUAAACCUCUUUUAGUAGGGAAGAAGCGAAAGUGACGGUACCUGCAGAAAAAGCACCGGCUAACUACGUGCCAGCAGCCGCGGUAAUACGUAGGGUGCGAGCGUUGUCCGGAAUUAUUGGGCGUAAAGAGCUCGUAGGCGGUCUGUCGCGUCUGCUGUGAAAACCCCGAGGCUCAACCUCGGGGCCUGCAGUGGGUACGGGCAGACUAGAGUGCGGUAGGGGAGAAUGGAAUUCCUGGUGUAGCGGUGGAAUGCGCAGAUAUCAGGAGGAACACCGAUGGCGAAGGCAGUUCUCUGGGCCGUAACUGACGCUGAGGAGCGAAAGCGUGGGGAGCGAACAGGAUUAGAUACCCUGGUAGUCCACGCCGUAAACGUUGGGCGCUAGAUGUGGGGCACC
rnacentral:rRNA from 1 species